CAAAUUAAAGCUUAUUAAAGUUUUUUACUUACAUUAAAAGGAUUAUUGUUAAAUCAAUAUAAUUUGA
rnacentral:tRNA from 1 species